rnacentral:tRNA from 1 species
AUAGCUCAGUAGGUAAAGAAUCUGCCUGCAAUGCAGGAGAUCCAGGUUCGAUUCCUGAGU